UGGGGAAUAUUGGACAAUGGGCGAAAGCCUGAUCCAGCAAUGCCGCGUGAGUGAUGAAGGCCCUAGGGUUGUAAAGCUCUUUUACCCGGGAUGAUAAUGACAGUACCGGGAGAAUAAGCCCCGGCUAACUCCGUGCCAGCAGCCGCGGUAAUACGGAGGGGGCUAGCGUUGUUCGGAAUUACUGGGCGUAAAGCGCACGUAGGCGGCUUUUUAAGUCAGAGGUGAAAGCCCGGGGCUCAACCCCGGAAUUGCCUUUGAGACUGGAAAGCUAGAACACGGGAGAGGUGAGUGGAAUUCCGAGUGUAGAGGUGAAAUUCGUAGAUAUUCGGAAGAACACCAGUGGCGAAGGCGGCUCACUGGACCGUUGUUGACGCUGAGGUGCGAAAGCGUGGGGAGCAAACA
rnacentral:rRNA from 1 species